UACGGGGGGGGCAAGCGUUGUUCGGAAUUACUGGGCGUAGAGGGUUUGUAGGUGGCUCGCUAAGUCAGACGUGAAAUCCCUCAGCUUAACUGGGGAACUGCGUCUGAGACUGGCAAGCUUGAGUGCAGGAGAGGAACGCGGAAUUCCAGGUGUAGCGGUGAAAUGCGUAGAUAUCUGGAGGAACACCGGUGGCGAAGGCGGCGUUCUGGACUGUAACUGACACUGAGGAACGAAAGCCAGGGGAGCAAACGGG
rnacentral:rRNA from 1 species